ACUCAAAGGAAUAGACGGGGGCCCGCACAAGCGGAGGAGCAUGUGGUUUAAUUCGAUGAUACGCGAGGAACCUUACCCGGGCUUGAAAGUUAGUGACCGGCCGAGAAAUCGGUCUUCCCGCAAGGGCACGAAACUAGGUGCUGCAUGGCUGUCGUCAGCUCGUGCCGUGAGGUGUUGGGUUAAGUCCCGUAACGAGCGCAACCCCUAUCGUUAGUUGCUACCAGGUUAAGCUGAGGACUCUAAUGAGACUGCCCGCGCAAGCGGUGAGGAAGGUGGGGAUGACGUCAAGUCAGCACGGCCCUUACGUCCGGGGCUACACACGUGCUACAAUGGGCGGUACAGAGGGACGCUACCAGGUGACUGGAUGCAAAUCUCGAAAGCCGCUCUCAGUUCGGAUCGAAGUCUGCAACUCGACUUCGUGAAGCUGGAUUCGCUAGUAAUCGCGUAUCAGCAAUGACGCGGUGAAUACGUUCCCGGGCCUUGUACACACCGCCCGU
rnacentral:rRNA from 1 species